rfam:Gossypium arboreum cultivar AKA8401 contig_3871_7, whole genome shotgun sequence.
UGUUAAAAGUUUCAUCCAUUUUUACUGUUGAAAAAUGACAUAGUUGACAAAAUAAUCAAACAGUGACAAGUGGUGUGCCAUACGUACCUCAUGCUAACGUACAUAAACCAAUUUUUAACAAUUAAAAUGGAUGUAAUUUUUAACA